rnacentral:tRNA from 1 species
GGAGCAAUAGCUCAGUGAUUAGAGAGCACUGACUGAUCUUGCAGUGGACCUAGGUUCGAUUCCUAGCAUUUCCA